rnacentral:rRNA from 1 species
UGGGGAAUAUUGCACAAUGGGCGCAAGCCUGAUGCAGCGACGCCGCGUGAGGGAUGACGGCCUUCGGGUUGUAAACCUCUUUCACCAGGGACGAAGCGCAAGUGACGGUACCUGGAGAAGAAGCACCGGCCAACUACGUGCCAGCAGCCGCGGUAAUACGUAGGGUGCGAGCGUUGUCCGGAAUUACUGGGCGUAAAGAGCUCGUAGGUGGUUUGUCGCGUUGUUCGUGAAAACUCACAACUCAAUUGUGGGCGUGCGGGCGAUACGGGCAGACUAGAGUACUGCAGGGGAGACUGGAAUUCCUGGUGUAGCGGUGGAAUGCGCAGAUAUCAGGAGGAACACCGGUGGCGAAGGCGGGUCUCUGGGCAGUAACUGACGCUGAGGAGCGAAAGCGUGGGGAGCGAACAGGAUUAGAUACCCUGGUAGUCCACGCCGUAAACGGUGGGUACUAGGUGUGGGUUCCUUCCUUGGGAUCCGUGCCGUAGCUAACGCAUUAAGUACCCCGCCUGGGGAGUACGGCCGCAAGGCUAAAACUC